CAGUUCUGACACAAUCUCCUGCUCCGAUUCAUGUCUGUGUAACAGGAUGCAGGGGCAUUACCAGCAAACAAGGGGUUAAUCUCAGUUCAGAUGCUCCCUUACCUGCACAGGUGCUUAGGAUAAGGACUAUAAAUUGGUUGCUUUAAAAGCACUGGGGUUGAGUGUAUGUUGGGGAAGAUUGGUCAGUUUGUCUGUAGUUGUCAAGCUAGUUUCAGCCUCAAGACCAGAAAACUGGCACAAACUACAUACUCCCCUUUCCACAUGAAGUUCAGCUUCCACGUGAAAACAUGCUAAGAGAACUGAAGUUCACUGGGAGCCUUCCAUCUUUUUCAGAUGAUGUCACAAGUAAAACACCUCAUGGCAGGUCAUAUAUGAUGAUUAUUCCUAUUUUCCAGACAAGAAAACAGAAGCAUAAGUUGGUUCAGGACUACAUUUUUAAAAGUGAGCAUCACUCUUUUUGGGAGCCCAGCUGGAGCCACU